rnacentral:rRNA from 1 species
GACGAACGCUGGCGGCGUGCUUAACACAUGCAAGUCGAACGGAAAGGCCCUGCUUUUGUGGGGUGCUCGAGUGGCGAACGGGUGAGUAACACGUGAGUAACCUGCCCUUGACUUUGGGAUAACUUCAGGAAACUGGGGCUAAUACCGGAUAGGAGCUCCUGCUGCAUGGUGGGGGUUGGAAAGUUUCGGCGGUUGGGGAUGGACUCGCGGCUUAUCAGCUUGUUGGUGGGGUAGUGGCUUACCAAGGCUUUGACGGGUAGCCGGCCUGGGAGGGUGGACGGCCACCUUGGGCCUGAGAGACGGCGCAGUCUCCUACGGGAGGCAGCAGUGGGGAAUAUUGCCCAAUGGGCGGAAGCCUGAUGCAGCAACGCCGCGUGCGUGAUGCCGGCCUUCGGGUUGUGAACCGCUUUCGCCUGUGACGAAGCGUGAGUGACGGUACUGGGUAAAGAAGCACCGGCUAACUACGUG